CGUACAUUGUCCUCAGAUCAGAAUUCCUCAGACUCGAUAGCUAUGAUAAGAGAAAACCUCGGAAAUACAAGAAUUCUUUUUCUGCUAUAGUGCAGUAAUAUCAUCAUGGCUCACUGCAAUCUCGACUUCUCCAGCUCAAACAAUCCUCCCACCUCAGCCUCCCAAGCAGUUGGGACUACAGGCACGUGUCAUUACACCCAGUUACAGAAAGCUUUUCAUGGUUCACUGACUGAGGACAAUCAACCCCUUCAUAAUCCAUAACCCAAAGAUUGAACUGUCUGAGAACACCAGAGAAAGACUGCUCCUGCCAUCCACAUUGCAGCAAACCUUCAGGACCUUGAACCUUGGGUUCAUAGUCUUACAACUCAGAAGCAUCCCUCCACACUCUCAAAACUGGACAUCCUUGGGAACCCUUAAGGUAAAGCUAACCAGGGAAGAUUUUCUGCCCAGAAGAUGGCAUCCUUUUCCCCAAGAUCACAGAAGCUUUUUCCCAAGAUCACAGAUCAAGACUUCUCUAGUACCAUGAGACUCUUAUCUUUGAAUUUUUCCCCUUGCUAUGCCUCUAUAAACAAUAGAAGUAAAAAUGGAAUCUGUUGUGUGCACUCAUGGGGUAUACUUUUAUUUGUGAAGGAUGCUGCAGCCAUGCAGACUUAUACAUGGAUAACAGAUAUGGUUUGGCUCUGUGUCCCCACCCAAAACUCAUGUUGAAUUGUAAUCCCCAGUGUUUGUGAGGACUGGUGGGAGGUGAUUGGAUCAUGGUUGUGGUUUCUAAUGGUUUAACGUGAUCCCUUUAGUACUGUCUUGUGAUAGAGUUCUCAUGAGGUCUGGUUGUUUAAAAGUGUGUGGAACCUUCCUGUUCACUCUUUCUCCUGCUCUGACAAGUGAAGAUGUGACUGCUUUUCCUUCAACUUCUGCCAUGAUUGUAAAUUUCCUGAGGCCUCUUCAGCCAUGCUUCCUGUACAACCUGCAGAACUGUGAGUCAAUUAAACCACUUUUUUUUUAUAAA
rnacentral:lncRNA from 1 species